ensembl:lncRNA
GUGACGGUGGGGUGUUUUGGACGGGGGGCAAAGACAAGCAGCGAGGGGACUCACAGUUCACCGUUUGCCAGCUGCUGGUGGAGAUGCGAAGAAGCGCUUCGGGGGACUGGAAUGGCGUUGAAGUGAAAGGAAUGCCAGGUUGUUGUCCAAGAGGACGGCGUGUCGCGUUGCUGGCUUGAUCGAGGACCACACGGCGCUGCUGCUGGUUGCCAGAUUUUGGAUUAUCCCGCCUAACAAUGGGCCAAAAGGACCGUUUGGACCGUCUCUCCCUCCGAGCUGCCAGGGGCCGCUCUGCCCCCCCGGCCCCCCAAAGGCUCUCCUCCCCAUUGCACGCACAUGGACGCACGGCCUCUCUGGGACCAGGCUCCCCCCCCCCUCACAUUGAGACUGUUAUUUAACGUGUCCUUGUGUUUAUGGCCAUCCAGUGGCCCACAAGAGAGCCGGUGAGGUAUAUUCUCGUGCACGCACACACAUUUUUUUACACUUAACAAGCGCACGGCGGCCGGAGAAUAUUGUCGAUUUCUUUCAACUUGGCGAUUAAGAACGUGUACACAUGUGUGCGUUUGUGACGCUCUUUUUCCCCACAGUGACUUUUAUUAAGUUGGCUGUCCGCUGUGCGUCUGCAGAACCUGUCUUUGUGUUUGACAUCUGCUGGGAGCAACGCUGGAAUACGUGACCUCCAGGCGCGCAGACAGAACGUAACCAUGGUGGAGACCAGGAUCAGAUCACACUCCGGCUGUCAGAGUCACGACCCCAACUGGAUCAGAGUGAAACCCGUGAAAUAGAACCGGCGCUUUCAGCGUCAGAACCCCAAACCAAAUCUGUCACUCAAACGGCAAACGGAGACCCAGGAAAGGCAGGAGGAGCAAAUGGGAAAGAGAGGAAUUCCUAGAUAGAAAAAUAAGAAGUGUGCUGAGUGGGGUCGCGGCAUCGGCGGUAGCAGCAUCUGUCAGUGAGGAAGGGGCCAAGGAGAGGGAGCGCCUCCUGUUUGUCUCCGCCGUCUCCAAGCCCCAGACCAUAGUCUUCCUGCUAAUUAACCUGCUGACACCUCCUUACCAUUUACAUUUUGGGGGGAGGUGGAUGGAGGCACAGCUGACAAAUGAUAUGCGACCUGGAUCGAUGUCCAGAAGAGGGCCAUUAUACAGACCAGCAGAGAAGACAUCUUCUUGGUGCUGAAGCUUUAAAGGAGAAAAUAGUGGGGAAGCAGCCAAAAAGCCACACAGGCGACUGGAGAUGUAAGACAAGCAGCGGAUGCUGGACGAAAUGGGAAUGAGGAAUAAACCGAUAAAGAAAAACAAAAGGAUCCAGAUACUUUGAUUGUGGCUUCGGGAUGAUUAGUAUGCAAUGUAAUGUCAUGAUAUAGUGUGUCAUAAAAAAACUCAUAAAAAGUCAUAGUAAAGCAUGCAAUAAUAUUUUUGUGAAAAUCUCAUAAAAUAGCAGCUCAUGAAACAUGUCAUAAUAUAUGAUAAAUCUUUGAAAUAAUGCCAUAGCAAUAUCUUCGAAAUGUAAUGAAUAUCAUCAUGAAAAAGUCAUAGAAAUCAUAGCAUGGUUUGUCAUACUUUUAUCUUGUAU